rnacentral:rRNA from 1 species
AGAACGAACGCUGGCGGCAUGCCUAACACAUGCAAGUCGAACGAGACCUUCGGGUCUAGUGGCGCACGGGUGCGUAACGCGUGGGAAUCUGCCCUUGGGUUCGGGACAACAGUUGGAAACGACUGCUAAUACCGGAUGAUGACUUCGGUCCAAAGAUUUAUCGCCCAGGGAUGAGCCCGCGUAGGAUUAGCUUGUUGGUGAGGUAAGAGCUCACCAAGGCGACGAUCCUUAGC